CGUCGAAAAAGGAUUUCAAGCCCUUAAUCCUUGGGCACUUUGUGCAGCCUGGCGCUGAUCGACGGCACGUGCUUUGGCCAGGAGAAGAACCCCAACACGCGGGUCAUACAGCUGGGCCCAGUUUGGACUUUUCUCGAGGAUACCGACACUGAAAUGUUUCCGCGUCUGUUGCUCGACUGCAAGGUACCAAAGGUAUGCGUUUUACAAGGCGGAUUCGACGCAUUGGAAACCUACGCAUCGAAUAAUGCAAUUUUUUACGAGCAGUUAAUAAUAUAAUAAUAAUAAUUCAAACUACUUCUAUAUUGAAUUACUAAGCGACUUGCGUCGGCGCUAAGCGAAUGAGUUGAUUACUAUGCUCAGCCAACUCCUGAAUGGAAACACGUCCGCGCUGCUUGAUGAAUUUAGCAACAGCGGCCAUCUCGGUUGGAGACACGUAUAUGAACUUCCCGCGAUCAUCAAUGACGCCUGUGAGGAUAUCAUCCUGCUGUAGAUCUUUUAUGCGAUCGAUGGCGGCCUGCGUCUUCAAUUUAAACCUGGACGCCAAGUCUUCGACCACUACGACUUUCUGCUCCUUGAUAAACUCGACAAACUCCUGCAGAAUAUUGCCUUGCUCACCCUCGUCGCCUUCCUCGUAGCCCUCCUCCUCCACCUUGAAUGCUUCCUUCAUACGCAUGUAUUCUUCGU